AGUGAACGCUGGCGGUAGGCCUAACACAUGCAAGUCGAACGGCAGCACAGUAAGAGCUUGCUCUUACGGGUGGCGAGUGGCGGACGGGUGAGGAAUACAUCGGAAUCUACUUUUUCGUGGGGGAUAACGUAGGGAAACUUACGCUAAUACCGCAUACGACCUACGGGUGAAAGCAGGGGAUCUUCGGACCUUGCGCGAUUGAAUGAGCCGAUGUCGGAUUAGCUAGUUGGCGGGGUAAAGGCCCACCAAGGCGACGAUCCGUAGCUGGUCUGAGAGGAUGAUCAGCCACACUGGAACUGAGACACGGUCCAGACUCCUACGGGAGGCAGCAGUGGGGAAUAUGGGACAAGGGGCGCAAGCCUGAUCCAGCCAUACCGCGUGGGUGAAGAAGGCCUUCGGGUUGUAAAGCCCUUUUGUUGGGAAAGAAAAGCAGCAGGUUAAUACCCCGCUGUUCUGACGGUACCCAAAGAAUAAGCACCGGCGAACUGCGU
rnacentral:rRNA from 1 species